GACAGAGGGUGCGAACGUUGUUCGGAAUUACUGGGCGUAAAGCGCGUGUAGGCGGCAGCGCAAGUCGGGCGUGAAAUCCCACGGCUCAACCGUGGGAGUGCACUCGAAACUGCGCAGCUAGAGUCCUGGAGAGGAAGGUGGAAUGCUUGGUGUAGAGGUGAAAUUCGUAGAUAUCAAGCGGAACACCGGUGGCGAAGGCGGCCUUCUGGACAGUGACUGACGCUGAGACGCGAAAGCGUGGGGAGCAAACAGG
rnacentral:rRNA from 1 species